AUUGAACGCUGGCGGCAGGCCUAACACAUGCAAGUCGAGCGGAUCGGCGGACGGGUGAGUAAUGCCUAGGAAUCGGACUGGUAGUGGGGGAUAACGUCCGGUAAGGGGCGCUAAUGCCGCAUCCUCACAGAUGAGGCUAGGUCGGAUUAGCUAGUUGGUGGGGUAAAGGCCUACCAAGGCGACGAUCCCUAACUGGUCUGGGAGGAUGAUCAGUCACACUGGAACUGAGACACGGUCCAGACUCCUACGGGAGGCAGCAGUGGGGAAUAUUGGACAAUGGGCGAAAGCCUGAUCCAGCCAUGCCGCGUGUGUGAAGAAGGCCUUCGGAUUGUAAAGUACUUUAAGUUGCGAGGCGUUACCAACAGAAUAAGCACCGGCUAACUCCGUGCCAGCAGCCGCGGUAAUUC
rnacentral:rRNA from 1 species